GAAUGGAGAAGAUAAGGAAAGAGAACAUCUACAUCAAAGGAGACGUCAUUGGAUGUAAGAGAUCCAGACAGCAUAGAGGCAACUCAUUCUCUACAACCAGGAGAUUGGGUAGUGGUGAAACGACACGUGCGGAAAGUCCUAGAACCACGAUUUGAGGGUCCACAUCAAGUACUGUUAACCACCGCCACUGCUGUCAAGUUGGAAGGAAAGCCUAAUUGGGUCCACGCAUCUCACUGCAAAAAAGUACCAGAACCUCAAGUGCUGGAAUGACUGCAAGGGCCGUAAUAUUUUUGCAUGCCUUACUGUUCAUUUUAUAUUGUACAGGGGAAAAUGCACAGUCAGAUAAAGUCCCAAAUUCCGUAUUUAGAGCAAUAUUAAUACAAGGGAAUCAGAGUGCAAUUGCAUAUGUAUCUCCUACAGCUUCACCCAUGAUUGACAAAAUGGCCUUAGACAGGGUUUUCAGACACAAAUGUAUGGCUAGAGUGGAUCCGCUAUACUGUUCUUUCCCAGAAGCGAUCCAACUGCAUAGCAUGUGCUGCAGCUCGACCUCAUUUGGGUACAGUACCUUUCCCUUUGAGUGAGGUUACCGAUCCUGAGGGUUUCAAGUGCAUCCUUAAGAUGUACACUGAAACCAUUCCCAGCAAUGACACCUCCCGCUGCAGAACAUUAGAAUUACUUUAUCCGAUUGUUCAUGAUAAAGAUCAUAUGGGUUUCGGUAUAACGCCAUACCCUGGAAAUUAUACCUGUUUCAAUCGUAACAGUACAGGCAAAGAGAUUGGUGUUUUCCCUCCCAGGAUAUUGUUCCUAUAACAUCUAUUUAAAUGAGACAAGUAGUGACUCUGAUGCUUACCCUGACAAAUGGUUUGUCCACCAAGAUUAUCAACAUUCAGAUAUCUGGUGGUUGUGUGGAGACAUGAAGCUCCGACCCAGGAUACGAAUGGAAUAGAUUGGCCAAUGUACCUUGAUUAAGGUGCUGAUGCCAUUUGUUCUAUUUUCGACUCUUGAGUGGGAUCAAGUCAAUAAGCAAACCGGUGUACGGUCAAGGCUAAGGAGGUCACUCUCUACAUCUUUUGAUUCUCAUGUAUACAUAGAUGCUAUAGGAGUCCCUAGAGGAGUUCCUGAUGAAUUCAAGGCUAGCUUGCUAGAAACCAGAUAGCUGCUGGUUUCGAAUCAAUACUUCCAAUAAUUGGCGUAAAUAAAAAUGUAGGAUGGAUUAACUAUUUGUACUAUAAUCAACAGAUUCGUAAAUUAUACUCGAGAUGCGGUAAAAGGAAUAGCAGAACAACUGAGCUCUUCAUCGGUGAUGGCGUUACAGAAUCGACUGGCCCUCGAUAUGAUCCUAGCAGGAAAAAGGAGGCGUCUGCAAGAUGAUUGGAAGUUCCUGCUGCACCUUUAUUCCGAACAACACUGCCCCUGACGGAAGCAUCACAAAGGCUUUAAAAGGACUGACUGCCUUAUCAAAUGAACUAGAGGAAAACUCUGGAAUCAACAACCCAUUUACUUCAUGGCUAGAACAGUGGUUUGGGAACUGGUCUAGUGUGUUAGCCAAUCUGUUAAUGACACUGGUGGCAGUAUUUGUGGUAUUGGCAUUGAUAGGGUGUUGUGUUAUUCCUUAUUUUAGAAAAAUAGUUUUUAAAAUGUUCAAUUCAACCACACCUGCAACCACCAUAUACAUGCAUUGUGACACUGACAAACCUAAAGAUUAUUUGGAGAACCUAAUUGAGGAACGCGAUUACGUCCUAAAACAAAUAAAAUCUUGUUGAUAGUUGCGGAAUAAAUAGAUCCAGAUGAAAGCAAACCUGAAAGGGAGUUGGGGGGACCUGGUGAGGCAAUAAAGAAAGUCCAGCUCUUCGUCGCUUAGGGCGUUGGGAGAGUACCUCACAUUGCUUAUUCAUCUUGUAU